GUAAGUUGGAGUCAUUACCCGAUUUUAAGACAUUUUUUCCAAGAAAAAUUUUUAACUCUUUGAUUUUUCGACUCUGUAUCAUCGGUCUCGAAAACCGGAGUAGGGGCAACUCUACCGGGGGUUCAAAUCCCCCUCUCUCCGCCA
rnacentral:tRNA from 1 species